AUUUAGUUGAUGAGUCCUAAAUAGGAUGAAAUGUACAUCCUGAAU
rnacentral:hammerhead_ribozyme from 1 species